rfam:Ictidomys tridecemlineatus contig114344, whole genome shotgun sequence.
GUGGUUGUGGCUCAACAGUAGAGUUCUUGCCUUGUAUGCAUGAGCCCCUGGGUUCGAUCCUCAGCACCAUA